GACGAACGCUGGCGGCGUGCUUAACACAUGCAAGUCGAACGGAAAGGCCCUGCUUUUGUGGGGUGCUCGAGUGGCGAACGGGUGAGUAACACGUGAGUAACCUGCCCUUGACUUUGGGAUAACUUCAGGAAACUGGGGCUAAUACCGGAUAGGAGCUCCUGCUGCAUGGUGGGGGUUGGAAAGUUUCGGCGGUUGGGGAUGGACUCGCGGCUUAUCAGCUUGUUGGUGGGGUAGUGGCUUACCAAGGCUUUGACGGGUAGCCGGCCUGAGAGGGUGACCGGCCACAUUGGGACUGAGAUAGGGCCCAGACUCAGACGGGAGGCAGCAGUGGGGAAUAUUGCACAAUGGGCGGAAGCCUGAUGCAGCAACGCCGCGUGCGGGAUGACGGCCUUCGGGUUGUAAACCGCUUUCGCCUGUGACGAAGCGUGAGUGACGGUAAUGGGUAAAGAAGCACCGGCUAACUACGUG
rnacentral:rRNA from 1 species